CCUACGGGCGGCAGCAGUGAGGAAUAUUGGUCAAUGGGCGAGAGCCUGAACCAGCCAAGUCGCGUGAGGGAGUACUGCCCUAUGGGUUGUAAACCUCUUUUGUCGGGGAGCAAAAUCCGGACGUGUCCGGCUGUUAGAUUACCCGAAUAAAAAGCCUCGGCUAACUCCGUGCCAGCAGCCGCGGUAAUACGGAGGAUGCGAGCGUUAUCCGGAUUUAUUGGGUUUAAAGGGUGCGCAGGCGGAUUUUUAAGUCAGUGGUCAAAUCGUGGGGCUCAACCCCAUCCAGCCGUUGAAACUGGGGAUCUAGAGUGUGCGAGAGGUAUGCGGAAUGCGUGGUGUAGCGGUGAAAUGCAUAGAUAUCACGCAGAACCCCGAUUGCGAAGGCAGCAUACCGGUGCACAACUGACGCUCAGGCACGAAAGCGUGGGUAUCGAACAGGAUUAGAUACCCCUGUAGUC
rnacentral:rRNA from 1 species